rnacentral:rRNA from 1 species
GUGGGGAAUUGUUCGCAAUGGGCGCAAGCCUGACGACGCAACGCCGCGUGGAGGAUGAAGGUCUUCGGAUUGUAAACUCCUGUUGAUCGGGACGAAAAGCUCUGACCCAACACGUCAGAGACUGACGGUACCGGUUGAGGAAGCCACGGCUAACUCUGUGCCAGCAGCCGCGGUAAUACAGAGGUGGCAAGCGUUGUUCGGAAUUACUGGGCGUAAAGGGCGCGUAGGCGGCCUUCUAAGUCGGACGUGAAAGCCCCAGGCUUAACCUGGGAACUGCGUCCGAUACUGGGAGGCUUGGAUUCGGGAGAGGGAUGUGGAAUUCCAGGUGUAGCGGUGAAAUGCGUAGAUAUCUGGAGGAACACCGGUGGCGAAGGCGGCAUCCUGGACCGAGAUCGACGCUGAGGCGCGAAAGCUAGGGGAGCAAACGGGAUUAGAUACCCCAGUAGUCC